GGAGGAGGACGAUCCAGUGCCAACAGUGAAAGGCUGGCGACGAUUUCUGUGUUGCGUUAAAGCAAGCAAACAGAAGAAAGACAAAAAAGGGAAGCGUGGAUUUCUUACCAGGCUGCGAAGUUUCUUUAGCCUUCACUAAAUUGUGGGAGAAUUCUAUUAAUACAUAGUUUAUAAUUCAAAAAUGUGUGAAGAAAGCGUCCCAUUGGUGAAAUAAUAUACACAUGAUUUGUACAAUUCACUUAUUAUAGUUACCAUAUAAGAAAAAGAAAAAUGUUAAGUUUCUAAAUAAAAUAUAUAUUUUCUG